ACUCCUACGGGAGGCAGCAGUGGGGAAUUUUGGACAAUGGGCGAAAGCCUGAUCCAGCAAUGCCGCGUGUGUGAAGAAGGCCUUCGGGUUGUAAAGCACUUUUGUCCGGAAAGAAAUCCUUGGCUCUAAUACAGUCGGGGGAUGACGGUACCGGAAGAAUAAGCACCGGCUAACUACGUGCCAGCAGCCGCGGUAAUACGUAGGGUGCGAGCGUUAAUCGGAAUUACUGGGCGUAAAGCGUGCGCAGGCGGUUUGCUAAGACCGAUGUGAAAUCCCCGGGCUCAACCUGGGAACUGCAUUGGUGACUGGCAGGCUAGAGUAUGGCAGAGGGGGGUAGAAUUCCACGUGUAGCAGUGAAAUGCGUAGAGAUGUGGAGGAAUACCGAUGGCGAAGGCAGCCCCCUGGGCCAAUACUGACGCUCAUGCACGAAAGCGUGGGGAGCAAACAGGAUUAGAUACCCCUGUAGUCCCAUG
rnacentral:rRNA from 1 species